rnacentral:rRNA from 1 species
UACGUAGGGUGCAAGCGUUGUCCGGAAUUAUUGGGCGUAAAGAGCUCGUAGGCGGCUUGUUGCGUCGUCCGUGAAAACCCGCAGCUCAACUGCGGGCUUGCGGACGAUACGGGCAGGCUGGAGUUCGGUAGGGGAGACUGGAAUUCCUGGUGUAGCGGUGAAAUGCGCAGAUAUCAGGAGGAACACCAAUGGCGAAGGCAGCUCGCUGGGACGGUACUGACGCUGAGACGCGAAAGCGUGGGGAGCAAACAGG